rnacentral:tRNA from 1 species
GGGGUUGUGGCUCAGCGGUAGAGCGCUUACCUCUUAUGUUUGAGACCCUGGGUUUGAUCCUCAGCACCA